ACGGAAGGCAGCAGUGGGGAAUAUUGGGCAAUGGACGCAAGUCUGACCCAGCAACGCCGCGUGAAGGAAGAAGGCUUUCGGGUUGUAAACUUCUUUUGUCAGGGAAGAGACGAAGACGGUACCUGACGAAUAAGCCACGGCUAACUACGUGCCAGCAGCCGCGGUAAUACGUAGGUGGCAAGCGUUGUCCGGAUUUACCGGGUGUAAAGGGCGUGUAGCCGGGUCGGCAAGUCAGAUGUGAAAUCCAUGGGCUCAACCCAUGAACUGCAUUUGAAACUGUUGAUCUUGAGUAUCGGAGAGGUAAUCGGAAUUCCUUGUGUAGCGGUGAAAUGCGUAGAUAUAAGGAGGAACACCAGUGGCGAAGGCGGAUUGCUGGACGACAACUGACGGUGAGGCGCGAAAGCGUGGGGAGCAAACAGGAUUAGAUACCCUGGUA
rnacentral:rRNA from 1 species